rnacentral:lncRNA from 1 species
AAAUCCUAGACCCAACCUCAGAAGCGGCGCACCCUACUACUCCUUCAUCUUCUUCGUUUUCAACUCGCCUUAACUCGUUUCCUAGUUCACUCACAUGGUCCCCUCCCCUCCACGUCACCUUCAUUCCCAACGGAUUUGUCAUAAGAGUAUGAAUAUUCCCUCAAAAUCGCACGAUUUCGAUUACGAAAGGACGAUUUUCUAGAUGAAUGGAAGCCGUGAAUAGAUUUAAAUCAAUCCACGCCUUCCAUUUGUCCCAAAAUUGUUCAAAAAAAACUCGAAAAUUUAAGAUUUUUGGGCAGAUUUUUGAGAUUUUUCGAAGGCUGUAUAUAUGAGGUAAGUUCUAUGUGCUAGGUUAGAGGAAAAAUCGAAAAAAAAUCUUCAGAAAAAAUUUGAGUCAAGUUUCUAGGUUUGAAGUAAUCAUUUUCUUCAAGCCAUUUUUUCUUCAGUCUGCUUUUUUUAGAAAAGAUAUAAAAAAACAAAACAAAACAAAACAAUAUGGUCUAAGUUCGAUUUUGAUUCAAGUUUUUAGUUCAUUUUCGGAGGAAAAAUCAGAGACAAUUUUGGGGGUUUGGUAGUAAAAUUUCUAAUUCUCAAAGCUAGGGAUGUAUUGUUGAUUCCUGUCAAUUUUUGCCAUUGAUUUUGCGUUGGCUGGGCUCGAUUCAUAUUUUUCUGUCAUUAUUUGGUUGCUGCAACUUCCUUUCAAAUAUUAGAGAUCUAUUUUCUUCUGUGCGUUUUGUUGUAAUCAGCUAUUGCGUUUGGCUAAAAAAUAUAAAUAUUAUAUUUUUUAUAACGAAAAUCACGUGGGUGUAUCUUUGUUUAAAUUUUCCUAAACAUUCUGUGAGUUUGUAUAGAUAUCCAUUUCAUUUGAAUGUUGUAAUGCUGCUGAAAUGCUUAUUUCUUGUAUGAGAUUCUUGUUUGGAGUGUUGUCUAUUAAUUACUGUUGAGAUGAGAUGGAAUCAAGUUGACAUUAGCUAAAAAAUAUUGUAAUAUCUGCUUGGCCAUUAAGUUAAAUUCUAGCCAUGUAUACAUAAAAUAUGAUAUUGUUUGUCAUAUGAUGUACGAUUUUAUUACUUGAUUCAUAUUAUUAGCAACACAAGUGGAAGGAUCUGAGGCUCUUUUUUGGUUAAUUUUUUUUUCUAAAUGGAGAUGAACUUCACUUGUUAAUUUGAAACACUUCCUUCUAGAAACUGAGUAUCCUAUUGAUAACAAUUGUAUCUUCUUUUAGAAAUUUUAUCGAUUUAGUCAUAAAAGCCUAAAAGGAUACAAUUGUUUUCAUCUAUUUAGUCAUGAAGGUUGUGCUGCUUCUGUAUCUUUGCUCUCUACAUGUAUAGUAGUUAUUUUGGAGAAUAAUUUUUUUCAAGUAUAUUCCAGGCCAAAAAGCAGUAUGGUCCCGAAGUUUUUUUUGCAGAUUUGGAUUGUGUUAGUUGUUAAAAUAAUACUCUGGAACAUUGACUUAUAAAAAUGCUAAAAAAUGGCAAAAUAGUCCAAAAGCAAAAAAUAAUGAGAUUUUUUUCUUUUCGAGGAUUUGUGAUGAUUCAAAGUUUGAAUAGGGAAUUGUAAUUGAACAUAUUUGUAAUUUGUUUGGCCUUUAAUACCUUUCUUGGUUUUGUGUGUGAGUUUGAUUUCAUGGAUAUAUCAAUGAUUUGUAAAAAAUUAAGUUUAUGCUUUGUGCCAGGCGGCCCAUCCUUGCAUAUUCUGUCCAGAUCUAUUAAGAAACUAAUUAAGUUACCAAUCCAGAUUUCUUGGCCUUUAAAAUCAGUUACUAAAGCUCUUGAAAUCAUUACUCUCCUCUCCAAAACUCGUGAUUCAAUUUUAAAAUCAAAAGUUAUUGUAGAAUUAAUCAAAAUCUCAGUCUUUGCUUCUGUAGUGUUAAUGACUUGCAUUCAUAAUUGGUUUCGACUAAGGUUGCUACAAUUUCGACUGAAUCAGUGAACUUUGAGAGAUUCCCUUUGGAUUUAACUUGUUUAAUAAUGUUAAUGCAUCUCUUUCAGCAAAUGAAUUCCAUAUGGCUACAACUUUUACAACCGUAUUAAUUGGCCUCAACAACUCUUGAAUACCGUAGAUUACUUUAGGCGUGCAAUUAAAUUAUUAUAACUACGGGUAUGGUUCCCGUGACGUGGUUGUGAUAAUUUGUUUUAAAUUAAAUUAAAAUAGGAGUACCUUUAGUUUGCCUUUUAAAAUAUAUAACCAUUUUUCUUAAAAUAAUUCGAGGUGUGACAUGCUUUAAGCUUAUAACCCAUGGCCCUCAUCCAAUUAAUGAUAACCCUUUUAAGAUCGAUGUGUGCCAUUAUUAAAUUUUCUACGGCCCUCGCAAACUCUUAUUAAUUUAAACCAUCGUUUAUUUGCUUUAGGCCCGAUUUAGAUUAGUAUUAUGAUUAUAUAUACGUUCGCGUAAUAUUAUUGCAAUUUAACUCUAAAAGUAACUCAAGGGAUGCAUUCGCGCAACUUCAACCAAAUUUUUCCUAAUAAAAUAAAUGAAGUGUGAUUAAUUGUGAAUAAAAUAAACUUUUCCCAAAAGAAAAGAGUAUACAUACGCGUAACUCAAUUCUUUAAUUUUUCAAUAAUCAAGUGAUUAAAAGUGGUACAGAGUGAAAUGCACAUAAGUUCUAAAAAUGAGUAGUUAAAAACUUUAAGCCAAAUAAUAAUCACUAAGCGACCGUUCUAGAACAACGGAACCCAGGAAUGCAUAACACCUUCUCCCGGGUUAACAAAAUUCCUUAUCAAGAAUUUCUGGUUCGCAGACCUUUAAAUAAAAAUCGAAAUUUCCUCGAUUUGGGAUUAUAAAAUAAACCGGUGACUUGGGACACCAAAUAAACAAUUUCAAAUGGCGACUCAGAUAAAUUAAAUAAUCUCAUUUCGAAUAAUGUCACUUUAAUUGGAAAAACUCUCUUAUAUACCCUUUACGGGUAGUAAAAAGGAGGUGUGACACCAAUGUGGUGGCCGAUGCCUUGAAUCGCCGGGCAGAGAGUUUGGGGAGUUUGGCUUAUUUACCAGCAUUGGAGAGGCCUAUGGCAAUGGAUGUUCAGGCCCUAGCCAGCCAAUUUGUGAGAUUGGAUCUUUUGGAGCCCAGUCAGGUUCUAGCUUGCGUGGUUUCUUGGUCUUCCUUAUUUGAUUGUAGCAGGGACCGUCGGUAUGAUGACCCUCAUUUGCUUGUCCUCAAGGACAAGGUUCAGCACGGUGAUGCCAGAGAUAUGACUAUUGGUGAUGAUGGGGUAUUGAGGAUGCAGAGUCAGAUUUGUGUACCCAAUGUUGAUGGGCUUCGGGAGUUGAUUCUAGAGGAGACACAUAGCUCGCGAUAUUCCAUCCAUCCGGGUGCCAUGAAGAUGUACCAGUAUUUGAGAUAGCACUACUGGUGGAGGCGAAUGAAGAAAGAUAUAGUUGGGUUUGUAGCUCAUUGCCUCAAUUGUCAGCAGGUGAAGUAUGAGCACCUGAGACCGGGUGGGUUGCUUCAGUAGAUAGAGAUUUUGGAGUGGAAGUGGGAGCGGAUCACCAUGGACUUUGUAGUUGGGCUCCCACGGACUUUGAGGAAGUUCGAUGUCAUUUGGGUGAUUGUGGAUCGGCUGACCAAGUCCACGCAUUUCAUACCUGUGUGUACCACUUAUUCUUUGGAGCGGUUGACAGAGAUUUAUAUCCGGGAGAUUGUUUGUCUACAUGGUAUUCCAACUUCCAUUAUUUCAAAUAGGGGUACUCAGUUCACAUCACGGUUCUGGAGGGCCGUUCAGCAUGAAUUAGGUACUCGGGUGGAGUUGAGUACAACAUUUCACCCCGAGACGGACAGAUAAUCCGAGCGCACUAUUCAGAUUCUUGAGGAUAUGCUCUAUGCGUGUGUGAUUGAGUUUGGACGGUCUUGGGAUCAGUUCUUUCCACUGGCAAAAUUUGACUACAACAAUAGCUAUCAGUCCAGCAUUUAGAUGGCAACCAUACGAGGCUUUAUAUGGUAGGCGGUGUAGAUCCCAGGUGGGUUGGUUUGAGCCGGGUGAGGCUAGAUUAUUGGUCACAGACUUAGUUCAGGAUGUUUAGCAGAAGGUUAAGGUGAUUAAAGAUAGACUCCAUACAGCCCAGUCCAGACAGAAGAGUUACGCGGAUCGGAAGGUUCGUGAUGUUUCCUAUAUGGUUGGAGAGCGGGUUCUGCUUUGGGUUUUGCCUAUGAAGGGCGUUAUGAGAUUUUGGAAGAAGGGGAAGUUGAAUUUCCAGGUUUAUUGGCCCUUUUGAGAUAUUUAGGCAUGUUGGGAAGGUUGCUUAUGAGCUUGACUUACCUCCUAUCUUGGUAGGAGUUCAUCCGAUUUUUCAUGUCUCGAUGCUCCGGAGGUAUCACGGCAAUCUGUCGCACGUGUUGGAUUUCAGUUCAGUUCAGUUGGACAAGGAUCUAUCUUAUGUUGAGGAGCUAGUGACAAUAUUGGACAGGCAAGUCCUGAAGCUGAGAUCAAAGAACAUUGCAUCAGUGAAGGAUCAGUGGCGGGGUCAGCCGGUCGAGGAGGCGACCUAGGAGACCGAGCAGGAUAUGUGCAGCUGUUACCCUCAUCUUUUCACUACUUCAGGUAUGUCUCUAUGAUUUUAAGAAUUUACGCCUCGAUCCCCUAUUAACUGCUUUCCCCGUAUUUGUUUCUGCUAUUGGGAGUUGCCGGGAGGGUUUGUUUGGAGUUUCGGAGAGUUUUGGGACACUUAGUUCCUAACGGAGAGCUUAAGUUUUGGAAAUUUGACCAUAGUCGGAAUAAUGCGAAGAAGGCCUCGGAAUGGAAUUUCGAUGGUUCCAUUAAUGCCGUGGGUGAUUUCGGGUGUAGGAGCGUAUUCGGAUUGUGUUUUGGAGGUCCGUAGCUAAUUUAGGCCUGACAUGCCGAAAGUUGAAUUUUUAGGUUUUCGAUUCGAUAGUGAGAUUUUGAUCCGAGGGUCGAAAUGGAAUUCUGGAAGUUGGAGUAGCUCCGUAGUAUUAAAUGUGACGUGUGUGCAAAUUUUCAGGUCAUUCGGACGAGGUUUGAUAGACUUUUUGAUCGAUAGCGUAAAUUUAGAGUUUUGGAGUUCUUAGGCUUGAAUUCGUGGUUGAUUCGUCAUUUCGAUGUUGUUUUAGGUACUUUAUGUAUUGGUAUAAGUUUGGACAGUGGUAUUAGACUUGUUUGUGCUUUUGGUUGAGGUCCCGGGGGCCUCGGGAUGGUUGCGGAAGGUUAUCGGAAGAAUUGGGAGUUUGUUUGAGUAGCUUCAGCUACUGAUCUUCUGUCAUAACUGCACCUUCGGUUGAAUCCCGCAGGUGCGUAGCCGCAUAAGCGGUGGCAUCAUCACAGAAGUGGAAAAAGGGAGAAACAGCAGGAUCCGAAGAAGCAAGAGCUUUACCGUAGAAGCGGUGUCGCAUCUGCGUAUGGGGAGUCGCAGGUACGGAAAGCUGAGUUUAGUGAAUUGUCCCAGAUGCGACCUUUGUUCCGCAAAAGAGGGACCAUAGGUGCAGUCCCAUGACCGCAGAAGCGGAUUAGCUGAGUAUAACAUAUAAAUAGUUGCCUUCACGAAUUUGAGUUAUUUUCACCUUUUCUCAAAUAGGAAGAAGCCUUGAAGAGAAUUUUCAAGGGAGAUGUUUCAGAGGAAUUUAUUGGGGUAAGGUAUUUGGUCCCUAAACUCAUUAUUAAGGUGAUUUUUAUCAUUAUAAGCAUGAAAAUUUAAGGAAAAUCAGUGGUAAUUUGGGGGUUAGGGCUUGAUUAAUUAGAGACCUUUGAGUGAUGAUUUGAGUGACUAUUUGAGGUCUAAUUUUGGUACUUUUUUAUGACUGAACUCGUGAGAGUGUGAGGAUUCUGGAAAUAUAAAUUUUAUCCGAUUCCGAGAUGUGGGCCCAAGGGGCGUUUUGGUCAUUUUACCUAAUUUCGCGUAUUAGCAUAGAAUUUCUUUGUAGAAUCAAUUACUUGAAGUGUUAUUUAUAUUAUGCAAUUGAAUUGAAUAGAUUUGGGUAAUUUGGAGUCGAGUACUCAUGGAAAGAAGGUGGUUUCAGGUUGACUUUGAGCUGGUUUGAGGUAAGUGGCUUGCCUAACCAUGUGUGGGGGACCUUCCCCUUAGGAUUUGGUAUUAUUGAUAAUUGAAAUGCCUUGUACGUGAGGUGACGAGUGCGUAUUUGUGCUAAUUCUUGAAAAUCCGAUUUUCAUUAAGUAAUUACUAGUAUGUUUCCUUUCAUGUUUAUAUUACUUGCAAUUUAAGCCUGUUGUUAGCUUAGGAAAGCAUGUCUAAUUGAAUUAACUGCCUUACGUGUUCAAACUGCCUUAUUUGGAUUACGUGCAGCAUGCUAGGUUAGAAAUACCAGUUUCACCUUGGUAUGGAGCUUGAAUUGAAUUGUGUACUCUUCUUGUUAUUGUUGUGUGUUUACUUUAGGACUACGGGACGGUAUGCCGGGAGAUCCCCUUGUAUGUUUACUUUGGAACUAUGGAACGGUAUUUUGGGAGAUUCCCCUGCACAUUUACAUUGGAACUACGGGACUGCACCCGAUAGAUUCCCCAUGUACUGAGUAUUUAUAUUUGGGACUACAGAUCGAUUUUUCAGUAGAUCCCCUCGCAUUAUGAGUUAGACUACGGGACGGUGUCCAGGGAGAUCCACUGGACAUUUACAUUUGGGACUACAGGACGGUACCCUGGGAGAUCCCCGGUUGUUAUCUUUGUGUUGAGUUGUGUUUCUUUCUGUGUUUACUUUGCCUCUGUAGUAGUUGCUACUAUCAUUUAUAUCCUGUGUUACUUUUACUGUUGUACUUAUUUAUAUUGUUUUAUUCUACAUUGUUGAACCUUAUAUUUUAUUUAACCUCAGUAGGGCCCUGACCUUCCUCGUCACAAGCCGACCGAGGUUAGGCUAGGCACUUACUGAGUACCGCUGUGGUGUACUCAUGCCCCUUUCUACGCAUGUUUUUCAUGUGCAGAUCCAAGUACUUCUACUCAGAUUUAUCACGCUUGAGACGAGACUCUGAGGUAUAUCUAGCGCGUCUGCUGACCGAAGAAUCCCUUUCUACUCCCCCCUUUUGUAUUAGACCUUCUGUACUUUCGUUUCUUUAUUAGAGAUUCUGGAGUUAGAUGUUUGUAGACAUUCAAAGGCUUGUGAUCAUGAGAUUCCAGGUUUUGAGAAAUGUAUUAGUUUUCUAGAGUUGA